rnacentral:rRNA from 1 species
UACGAAGGGGGCUAGCGUUGCUCGGAAUCACUGGGCGUAAAGGGCGCGUAGGCGGACUUUUAAGUCGGGGGUGAAAGCCCAGGGCUCAACCCUGGAAUUGCCUUCGAUACUGGGAGUCUUGAGUUCGGAAGAGGUUGGUGGAACUGCGAGUGUAGAGGUGAAAUUCGUAGAUAUUCGCAAGAACACCAGUGGCGAAGGCGGCCAACUGGUCCGAAACUGACGCUGAGGCGCGAAAGCGUGGGGAGCAAACAGG